GGCUUCCAGGACCCGUGUGCACUUCACCCUCUAGCAGGAUGAACUCUUGGAUUCCUGAUCCGGAGUCCUCCCUGGGGUACGAGUUUGCCUCCUUCCUCCUGGCAGCUGAGGCUGAGCGAGGAGGCCACAUAAGCUUGUGAACCCCUUCAGCCCAGCUGAGCCAGGGACACGCGCCUCUAUGGGCAGAGGGGAAACUGAGGCCCAGCACAGAAGCGGAUCUAAUUCCCCUUGGACAUUGGCACCAUGCCUGCCCACCGUGCUAUGGCUAGAUGGAGACAGUCCUUGCUCAGCUCUUCCCACCCCUAUGCCUUGGCGUAUGGAUUUCUGUUUGCUUUCAUUAUUUUCUCCUUCAACUUCAGAACUCCUAUUCAACCUCUGAAACCCAGCUCAAAUGCCACCUCCUCUGACGGAGCAUGGAGUCUCACUCGGUUGCCCAGGCUGGAGUG